rnacentral:rRNA from 1 species
GACGAACGCUGGCGGCGUGCCUAAUACAUGCAAGUCGAGCGCAGGAAGCUGACGGAACUCUUCGGAGGGAAGGCAGUGGAAUGAGCGGCGGACGGGUGAGUAACACGUAAGGAACCUGCCUCAAGGAUUGGGAUAACUCCGAGAAAUCGGAGCUAAUACCGGAUAGUUCAACGGACCGCAUGGUCCGCUGAUGAAAGGCGCUCCGGCGUCACCUUGAGAUGGCCUUGCGGUGCAUUAGCUAGUUGGUGGGGUAACGGCCCACCAAGGCGACGGUGCAACGGCGACCUGAGAGGGUGAUCGGCCAAACUGGGACUGGGACACGGCCCAGACUCCUACGGGAGGCAGCAGUAGGGAAUCUUCCACAACGGACGAAAGUCUGAUGGAGCAACGCCGCGUGAGUGAUGAAGGUUUUCGGAUCGUAAAACUCUGUUGUAAGGGAAGAACACGUACGAGAGGAAAUGCUCGUACCUUGACGGUACCUUACGAGAAAGCCACGGCUAACUACGUGCCAGCCGCCGCGGUAAGAC